rnacentral:rRNA from 1 species
GAUCAUGGCUCAGGAUGAACGCUAGCUACAGGCUUAACACAUGCAAGUCGAGGGGCAGCAUGGUCUUAGCUUGCUAAGACCGAUGGCGACCGGCGCACGGGUGAGUAACGCGUAUCCAACCUGCCCACCACUUGGGGAUAACCUUGCGAAAGUAAGACUAAUACCCAAUGACAUCCCACGAAGACAUCUGAAUGGGAUUAAAGAUUUAUCGGUGAUGGAUGGGGAUGCGU